GCCUGCUGCUGCUGCUCUCCCUAGUCUAUAAGUCAAGUAAAGGAAGCAAAUGCAGCCCUGGGGAAGAUGGAGUUUCAGUUCCUCUGCUUUGCAUAAGUGGUGCAGACUGUGAAGUAUGUGAAGCUUUCUCACCAGAUCCAGCUGAAAGACCAGCCUCAGAGUUUCCAACCAUCUCUAUCACAGAAGCAAGCAGACGAAAAACAAUGUGAUGGGAGAGGAGGUGAAUCCCCUUCUUGUUUGCCACUAAGAAGCUCUCAAACUAAAGAAGCUUCUGAUGAUCACAUCUACAGUGGCAUCACAUAAGAAAGGGAGACUCAAAGAGCAUUUGAACUUCAUAGUUAAAAAUCAACACUUCAAACUCAAGUGCAUAUAUCAGCUUCAGAAGAAACGGAAAUAAAAAAGGUGACGAGGACGUGUACUAAAGAUGGGCUCUCUCUUAUAGUGAGGCCUUGACAGAUCUGCAGGAGGGUUGGCACUACACCUCUCAUUAAGAUGACAGCAGUCAGCCUUCCUGCUGACUCCCAGUCCUGAAGAGGGACGUGGAUCUCUUUGGCAGGUUGUUACCUCUGUACCCUGUAGUCCUUCUCGCAGUGAGUAGGAGUGGUAAAAAACCUCAAGCAGAAAUGACACCCGGAGUUUGUCUUCCUUAAGUCCCAGGGAAGCACCUCCACCAUCGUUCUGCCCAAACUGGGUUGCCGCGUUUUGACUUUGGAGAAACCUGCACAGCAUCAAACCACUUUCUUCAUAAAAGGCAGCGUGCCUUGGGGGGGCUGACAGGCCUUUGCAGGUGCUUAGAUGCAGGUCAAGAGACUUUUAAAAAACUUCAUAUUCUUGUUGAUCAAAUUGUAAGUGGGGCUUUCUGGUAUCACUUUUUAAGGUUUUGGCUUUCUAGUUCAUCAACUGCCUGUCACUGACUACCGCAACAGCAGGAUUCUCUUCUUAUUCAUGCCAUCCAAAACUGUAAGGGCUGUGUCGGUAUGUAGCUCAUGCCAGCUAUGUUCAACAGCUUAGUUUACAGCUAGUCUUGCAAAGUCAUUCAUUGAGAUUCUUCUCACAUUUUACUAUAUAAAAUCCGUUGAAUAAAUGUGGAAAGAAAAAAAAAUCUCAUCUAAUUUAGAAGUCCAGACAGGAAAAUCUUCCAGAUGGGACCAUUGUCAGAGUUUGUUGGUGUUCUUGCUCAAUUAGCUUGGCAGUGAACUUUAUGAAAGCAGAGCUGCUUACACGGUCACAGAAUAUGCAUGGCCCCCUAGAUGUCACCGCAUAACUAAUUAAAAAUAUGUCAUUUUCAAUGUAACCUGAUGUACAAGAUGUAGCCUCUUCCCAUUUUAAAGUGGCAAAACCGCUUCUACGCACAUACAGUUUGUAUUAUGCAGCCAUCUAGAGGGCCUUCUCUCUGUACUGACUUCAUGCUGUUGAAGAGAAACCACAAAACUGUAGGAAAAUAUAAGCUUUACUGACCCUUAGUGG